rnacentral:rRNA from 1 species
AGCGAACGCUGGCGGCAGGCCUAACACAUGCAAGUCGAACGAACUCUUCGGAGUUAGUGGCGGACGGGUGAGUAACACGUGGGAACGUGCCUUUUGGUGCGGAAUAACUCAGGGAAACUUGUGCUAAUACCGAAUGUGCCCUUCGGGGGAAAGAUUUAUCGCCAUUAGAGCGGCCCGCGUCUGAUUAGCUAGUUGGUGAGGUAACGGCUCACCAAGGCGACGAUCAGUAGCUGGUCUGAGAGGAUGACCAGCCACACUGGGACUGAGACACGGCCCAGACUCCUACGGGAGGCAGCAGUGGGGAAUCUUGCGCAAUGGGCGAAAGCCUGACGCAGCCAUGCCGCGUGAAUGAUGAAGGUCUUAGGAUUGUAAAAUUCUUUCACCGGGGACGAUAAUGACGGUACCCGGAGAAGAAGCCCCGGCUAACUUCGUG